rnacentral:rRNA from 1 species
GUCGAGCGGAUGAAAGGAGCUUGCUCCUGGAUUCAGCGGCGGACGGGUGAGUAAUGCCUAGGAAUCUGCCUGGUAGUGGGGGACAACGUUUCGAAAGGAACGCUAAUACCGCAUACGUCCUACGGGAGAAAGCAGGGGACCUUCGGGCCUUGCGCUAUCAGAUGAGCCUAGGUCGGAUUAGCUAGUUGGUGAGGUAAUGGCUCACCAAGGCGACGAUCCGUAACUGGUCUGAGAGGAUGAUCAGUCACACUGGAACUGAGACACGGUCCAGACUCCUACGGGAGGCAGCAGUGGGGAAUAUUGGACAAUGGGCGAAAGCCUGAUCCAGCCAUGCCGCGUGUGUGAAGAAGGUCUUCGGAUUGUAAAGCACUUUAAGUUGGGAGGAAGGGUUGUAGAUUAAUACUCUGCAAUUUUGACGUUACCGACAGAAUAAGCACCGGCUAACUCUGUGCCAGCAGCCGCGGUAAUACAGAGGGUGCAAGCGUUAAUCGGAAUUACUGGGCGUAAAGCGCGCGUAGGUGGUUUGUUAAGUUGGAUGUGAAAUCCCCGGGCUCAACCUGGGAACUGCAUCCAAAACUGGCAAGCUAGAGUAUGGUAGAGGGUGGUGGAAUUUCCUGUGUAGCGGUGAAAUGCGUAGAUAUAGGAAGGAACACCAGUGGCGAAGGCGACCACCUGGACUG